GAAAUGCGAUAAUUAAUGUGAAUUGCAGAAUUCAGUGAAUCAUCGAGUCUUUGAACGCACAUUGCGCCCCCUGGUAUUCCGGGGGGCAUGCCUGUCCGAGCGUCAUUGCUGCCCUCAAGCACGGCUUGUGUGUUGGGCUUCCGUCCCUGGCAACGGGGACGGGCCCAAAAGGCAGUGGCGUCACCAUGUCUGGUCCUCGAGCGUAUGGGGCUUUGUCACCCGCUCCCGUAGGUCCAGCUGGCAGCUAGCCUCGCAACCAAUCUUUUUAACCAGGUUGACCUCGGAUCAGGUAUGGAUACCCGCUGAACUUAAGC
rnacentral:misc_RNA from 1 species